CUUUAUUCUUGUACCCGUAGGUUAGCCACUCAAAUAAAUGCUUAGUUUCUUGCUGCAGCCUCCCCACUUAACCAUACCUCAUCCAUUAAGGGUUACAGGUCUUGAUACCUUUGGAAAUGAGAUUGUUGAGUCCCUGUGGCUCACGAAUUACUACAACAAGAGUUUCAGGAACAUGCAAAGCGAUACUUUGACGUGAGCGCGAUGAUUGUGCUAUUUGGAGUUUAUUCUUAUUAUUAUUCAUAGAUAUAGGAUGGGUUCCAGGACGACAGCCGUGGAUAGCAAGGAUGGACGUCGUUCUUUUAUUGUUUAUUUUCGUCUGUAGUCAGACACUGCUCUUCUAUAUGAUGAUUGGAUGUAUGGCUGUAUUGUGUUGUUCAUGUUGUAGCUUGUGGCGAGUGUAAGCCAAUUCCAUAUACUCAUCUAUUUUGUACAUGUACUUGUAACGAUAUCCAUUCUUGCAAAACGAUGAGAUGUGCU
rnacentral:lncRNA from 1 species